rnacentral:rRNA from 1 species
CGGACGGGUGAGUAACGCGUGGAUAACCUGCCUUACACUGGGGGAUAACACUUAGAAAUAGGGGCUAAUACCGCAUAAGCGCACAGAGCCGCAUGGCUCAGUGUGAAAAACUCCGGUGGUAUACGAUGGAUCCGCGUCUGAUUAGCCAGUUGGCGGGGUAACGGCCCACCAAAGCGACGAUCAGUAGCCGGCCUGAGAGGGUGAACGGCCACAUUGGGACUGAGACACGGCCCAAACUCCUACGGAAGGCAGCAG